rnacentral:rRNA from 1 species
UACAGAGGUCCCGAGCGUUGUUCGGAUUCACUGGGCGUAAAGGGUGUGUAGGAGGUUACGUAAGUUAGAUGUGAAAUCCUGUGGCUCAACCACAGAACUGCGUUUAAUACUGCGUAGCUAGAGGGCUCGAGGGGAAAGUGGAAUUCUCGGUGUAGCGGUGAAAUGCGUAGAGAUCGAGAGGAACACCGGUGGCGAAAGCGACUUUCUGGAGAGCACCUGACUAUGAAACACGAAAGAUAGGGGAGCAAACGGG